CGUAGGGGGCAAGCGUUGUCCGGAUUUAUUGGGCGUAAAGAGCGUGUAGGCGGCCAGAUAGGUCAGCUGUGAAAACUCGAGGCUCAACCUCGAGAUGUCGGCUGAAACCAUCUGGCUAGAGUCCGGAAGAGGAGAAUGGAAUUCCCGGUGUAGCGGUGAAAUGCGCAGAUAUCGGGAAGAACACCCGUGGCGAAGGCGGUUCCCUGGGACGGUACUGACGCUGAGACGCGAAAGCGUGGGGAGCGAACAGGAUUAGAUACCCUGGUAGUCCACGCCGUAAACGAUGGGAACUAGGUGUGGGCGGUGUCGACUCCGUCCGUGCCGAAGCUAACGCAUUAAGUUCCCCGCCUGGGGAGUACGGCCGCAAGGCUA
rnacentral:rRNA from 1 species